GGAGAGCUGGCCGAGUGGUCGAAGGCGCUUGAUUCGAAAUCAAGUGAUCCCUUACGGGUUCCAAGGGUUCGAAUCCCUUGCUCUCCGCCA
rnacentral:tRNA from 1 species